AAAAAGAAGAAAAGGACAAUUGUUGUCCUCUUUGCUAACACAAAGUAUAGUUAAAAAAUUCUCUUUUUUGUUGAAGGUUCAUGUGCAAUUGUGUGUACUACAGUUGGAGGCUAAAUACUUGAUUGGCUAGUGUUUUUGCUUCUUGUGGUGUUUGCGGAAUUGCUUCAGGAAGUGCCAUUGUGAUUACAAAAUUACUUGGCAAGGUAACUUUCUAAAUAAUAAUUAAUUUUGUUCUUUUAUGUGUUAAAUACCACCCAGAUGAUCCAUGGGUGGAGGCAUGUUUUGGUUAUUUAGUUCUAAAUUUUUUAUUUUCUUUCCGCUGCGUAUUUUGAGCAUGCCAUCCAUAACCAAACCCAUCAGACUAUGCGUCUCUUAUAGUCGACUAUGGUUUCUUAAAGUUGACUUUUUCUAUCAUGACCCGGUACUCUCCUCGAUCCCGUGACAACCGUCGCGAUGUUUCGAUAGACAUUCAUUACCCAAAAUGCCAACUGAAACCCCGCAAGGCUUUAAUAUCAGUUUUCGCACCUCCCCUAUGAGCAACAAUUGUUAAGUAUCAUGUUUUGAGAGAUUAUAAAUUAUUUCCAAAUCAAAACAAUAGAAAAAUAAUUUUUUUCUCACAGGGGCAUUUUAGUCAUUUUUCCUCUAAAAUCUCGAAACCAGUUAAAAAUGUAGUAUGCAAGUGGAAAACACAUAUUUCAUAAUCAAAAAUAAGUUUAGAUAUCUAAAACAUUCAUUUAAAGUGAAAUUAUACCUAUUUGAAUAUAAUAAAAAUAUUCAAUAAAAUAUUCUAUUUUCUUAUAAAAUAAUAUUUAUAGAGUUACCGGUAAAUAAUUUUUGUAACGUAAAAGCUAAAUAAAUUCAUACAUACUACAAUACAGAUAACCAAAGCAUAAGAUUUAAUUUACAGUGACACGUGGGCUCAUGAACAACCAAAAGUAUCAAAAGCGGUAAACUUACAGUUUUUGAGGAUGCAAGUCCAACUAUGUACCUAAAUAAAACGGUAUUGGCCUAAUUCGAUCUAUCACCCGAUUAAUUAGCCAAUACGUCCAAUUCAACUCCAAAUAAUUCUAUUUUUCUCUCAAUACUCCAAAUCAUCAAACACAAAUUAAAUAACUUGAAAUAUGACAAAAUCAUCCUCACAUUUUCUCUUGAAAAAUUUGGCCAUGGUGGGUGCAUCAAUACUAUGAUUUUUCCUACUUGAUUCUCACACCAUAAAUCACUAAUUUCUAACCAAAUCACUUGAAAUAAAAUCAAAAUCAUUAUUAAUAUUCCACAUGGAGAAUUCGGCCAAUGAUGGUGAUGGGAGAAAAUGAAUUUUUCUUGCUUGAUUUUCAUGCUACACAUCACCAAUCAACUAAAAACACUAAAAUACAUUGAAAUCUAACCAAAUCAAGCAUCAAAAACUCUCUCUAAGUGUUCAACCAGCAAGAUACCCAUCAUGAAAUCAUGUGAUUCAACCAUGGAAAAUGCAAAAGAAUGUAUGGGAAAGGUAGAUCACAAGUCAAAAUCAAGAAAUUUUACCUUUGAUUGCUUGAUUACUUGAAAUCCACUAAUUUUUCUCUUGAAUUUUCACCCUAGGGUUCUUUUUCUUUCUUUUCUUCCUUUGUUCUUGCUUUGGCUGGCC
rnacentral:lncRNA from 1 species